UACGGGGGGGGGAAGCGUUGUUCGGAAUUACUGGGCGUAAAGGGCUCGUAGGCGGCCAACUAAGUCAUACGUGAAAUCCCUCAGCUUAACUGGGGAACUGCGUGUGAUACUGGAUGGCUUGGAUUUGGGAGAGGGAUGCGGAAUUCCAGGUGUAGCGGUGAAAUGCGUAGAUAUCUGGAGGAACACCGGUGGCGAAGGCGGCCUCCUGGACCAAUAUUGACGCUGAGGAGCGAAAGCUAGGGGAGCAAACGGG
rnacentral:rRNA from 1 species